rnacentral:rRNA from 1 species
GACAGAGGUGCCAAGCGUUAGGCGGAAUCACUGGGCUUAAAGCGUGUGUAGGCGGAUUGGUAAGUACCUUGUGAAAUCCCACGGCUCAACCGUGGAACUGCUUGGUAUACUGCUUAUCUUGAGCCACUUAGGGGCUGUCGGAACAAACGGUGGAGCGGUGAAAUGCGUAGAGAUCGGAAGGAACACCAGUGGCGAAGGCGGCUACCUGGACAAAUACUGACGCUGAGGCGCGAGAGCGUGGGGAGCAAACAGG